UUCGAUUAAGCCAUGCGAGUCGCGAGUCUUAGGGACUCGGCGUACCGCUCAGUAACACGUGGGUAACCUGCCCUAUGCUGGGGAAUAACCUCGGGAAACUGAGAAUAAUGCCCCAUAGUUCACCACGCCUGGAACGGUGGGUGGAUGAAAGCUCCGGCGGCAUAGGAUGGGCCUGCGGCGUAUCAGGUCGUAGGGGGUGUAAUGUACCCUCUAGCCAUCGACGCAUACGGGUGUUGGGAGACAUUGCCCGGAGAUGGAUUCUGAGACACGAAUCCAGACCCUACGGGGUGCAGCAGGCGCGAAAACUUGGCAAUGCGAGAAAUCGUGACCAGGGAACUCCAAGUGCAUCGGGUAAGACCGAUGCUUUUCUUGACUCUUCAAAGGUCUUGGAAUAAGGGGUGGGUAAGGACGGUGCCAGCCGCCGCGGUAAUACCGGCGCCUCAAGUGGUAGUCGCUUUUAUUGGGCCUAAAACGUCCGUAGCCGGUUUGGUACAUUCGUGGGUAAAUCAAGGCGCUCAACGUCUUGAAUUCUGCGAGCACGGCCAGACUUGGGACCGGGUGAGGUGUGGGGUACUCUCAGGGUAGGGGUAAAAUCCUGUCAUCCUGAGAGGACCACCUGUUGCGAAGGCGCCACACUAGAACGGAUCCGACGGUCAGGGACGAAGCCUAGGGGCACGAACCGGAUUAGAUACCCGGGUAGUCCUAGGUGUAAACGCUGUGGACUUGAUGUUGGGAGUGCUCCGAGCACCCUCAGUGUCGAAGCGAAGGUGAUAAGUCCACUGCCUGGGGAGUACGGUCGCAAGGCUGAAACUUAAAGGAAUUGGCGGGGGAGCACUGCAACCUGAGUAUUGUGCG
rnacentral:rRNA from 1 species